CAAAAUCUCACAAAGGUUAAUAAUCUACCGUAAAUGAUGCACAAUUUAGAAUUUAGUCAUACUUAACAUACUAAGAUGCAUAGAAAAUCAAUCACAUCACAACACAAGUCUUUAAUCAACAAAACAUAGAAAUUACUCAUGUAAUACUUGCAAUCCAAAAACCAAUGAAAAAGCAUGCCACUCUUUUAAAAAUAAAUAAGAAAACAAGUAAGUAAAUGAAAAACAUUAAAAACAAGAAAACACACAAGUAA
rnacentral:lncRNA from 1 species